UUGGAGGGCAAGUCUGGUGCCAGCAGCCGCGGUAAUUCCAGCUCCAAUAGCGUAUAUUAAAGUUGUUGCAGUUAAAAAGCUCGUAGUUGAAUUCCGGGAUCAAUUUAUUGGUCGUGCUAUUGUACGCACUGGUAUUAUUGAUUCCUACCUUCUGACGAACCAUGAUGUCAUUAAUUUGGUGUCUUGGGGAAUCAGGACUGUUACUUUGAAAAAAUUAGAGUGUUUAAAGCAGGCUCACGCUUGAAUACAUUAGCAUGGAAUAACGAAAUAGGACGUUUGGUUCUAUUUUGUUGGUUUCUAGGAUCGACGUAAUGAUUAAUAGGGAUAGUUGGGGGCAUUAGUAUUCAAUUGUCAGAGGUGAAAUUCUUGGAUUUAUUGAAGACUAACUACUGCGAAAGCAUUUGCCAAGGAUGUUUUCAUUAAUCAAGAACGAAAGUUAGGGGAUCGAUGACGAUCAGAUACCGUCGUAGUCUUAACCAUAAACUAUGCCGACUAGGGAUCGGAUGAUGUUAAUUUUUUAAUGACUCAUUCGGCGCCUUACGGGAAAC
rnacentral:rRNA from 1 species